CAGCCCUCCUUCUUAAUGACAUUUACUUGAAUAAUAUUACACAAAAAUAAGUUUUAAAUGCUAACAACCUAAACUUCUUGUUGCUUGAAUGCUGUUGGCUUAAACCUGAAGGACCAACUUGCAAUUAUCAAAAGUUGUGUGACCGUUCUUAUCCAUAAACACGUGUUCAUGAGAUGUGUCCUAAGCCUGAUACAUGUCUAGAGCACAUGUGUAGCCGGCAUGAAAGUGUUCUUCCUCAGGACAUUAUGCCACUAUGGGUGACACAUGUCACAUAUGGAGUGACCUGUGUCACUUCAAAUGUGACACAUGUCAUUUCCAUGUUAGGACACAUGUUGCUACACAUGAACAUAUGUCACUUCUAUGUCAACCUAGUGCUAAUUAAUAUCCUUCAAGUUACCCAAUAAAAAUCCAUGAGUUUGGAGUAGUUGGUAAGCGGGUUGCUCAUACCAACGGGAGGUCACAAGUUCGACUCUUGCAUAUGGCACCUUGAAAAACUCUGGGCCAAACCUUCACCUCCGAGUAAGAGUCAGACUCUGCGAACGCUUCUUAGGCCGAAUCCGGAUUAGUCUCACUGAAGAUGGGGAUACCGAAUACUCAAAGUAACCUAGGAUAAGAAAAUUCAAAAUAAGUGUCCACCGCAUUCAUGUAGUAAUAAUAUUACAUUCAUAUAGUUAUUAUAUGAUAGCCUUCUUGUUACAUUUUAAACAUAUAGUUACAGAUUUGCAUACAUAGCAGUAAAUAUGUUAACCUGAUGCUAAAAUUAGAUAAGGUGAAAUUAAUGAUGGUUGCUUUCGAGUGUAUAAAAACUACUAUGAUGCAUGUUUUUGUCUCGUUCGAAUGAUAAUUUUUUGUAUAAGAUGAACAUACUUUCUAUAUUGCUAUCUUAUAGACGUGAUUAUUUAUUUAUCAAGUAUACUAUUGUUCAAUGAAUUCGAGUGUGUACUUUAUUGCACCAAAAAUUUUAUUUGCUUGUCUAGCUUGCUAUUAUCCUCGCGAAUCCUGGUGUGUACUUUAGUACAUCAGAAAGUGAUUGAUUAACUCAACUCGCAAGUACAAUGAACCAUUUGCCGAUUGCGUACUUUAUCAUAACGAAAAAUGCUUACGACUUGUUUUGACAAAGAAUUGUAUUAUGAUUGCAUUUUUUCAAUUCAUAAUAUAUGCCUUGAAGGCAUACAUCAUUAUGCAGUGAAAAUUAUGCUUUACUUGAAGCCAUUAGAUUAUAUACAUCUUUAAUGCACUCAACUACCAUUGCUAUGCCCGGACAAUUUUUUCAUGUCUAUCCUGAAUACUUCAAUCCUAAAAGUGUUUGUAUUUUGCUAUGAGCUUGACAGUCUAAUGAGAUCCAUGUGUGCAAGUGCGAUUAAAUUUUUGAGAAUAUAUAUUCAAACAUAUAGGAAACACAUAAAAUAGAUAAAUCACAAGACAAUAGAAGGAUAAAGCACUGAUUAUCGGUGACGACCUGGUUCCACCUUAUACCACCAUCAUAAGCUCAACCUUCUAUUUUAACAAUCACUUAGGUCAAUUUCGGAAUUGCCAUUCACUCUCGACCUAAUAAGUGGAUAACCUCUUGCCCAAGUAGUGGGUUACGAACUAGUGUGUGAAAUGACAUUCGAUAUAGCCCUUUACUUGUUUGGCAGAUCACGGUACACUACUGACAUAGCUUUAGUACUAAUGCGAUAAAGUACACAACUGAUAUGGUCAAACACAAACAAUCAUGAUGCAAUUCUUUGACAAAAUAAUUCAUGAGCACUUUUGGGUGUGAUAAAAUAUACAAUCGGCAAAUGGUUCAUUGUAUUUGCAGCCAAUUUAACCAAUCACUUUCCAAUGUGAUAAAGUACACAUCCAGAUUCAUGAGGAUAAUAGCAAGCUAGACAAGCAAAUAAAAUUUUUGGUGCAAUAAAGUACACGCUCAAAUUCAUAAAACAAUAGCAUACUUGACAAAUAAUAAUCACAUUUGUAACAUAACAAUAUAGAAAGUAUCACCUUAAACAAGAAAUUAUCAUUCAAACAAAACAAAAGCAUGCAUCAUAGUAGUUUUAUACACUCAAAAGUAGCCGUUAUUAAUUUCACUUUGUCUGACUUUAGCAUCAGGUUAACAUAACUACUGCUAUGUAUGCAAAUCUGUAACUAUAUGUUUAAUAUGUAACAAGAAAGCUAUGAUAUAAUAACUAUAUGAAUGCAAUGAACGCUCACCCAAAUUUUCUUAUCCUAGGUUAGCUAGUCACUGUCUCGACACCAUCCUAUUGUCAUUCUUCUUUUUAUACUCUCUUGCUUUGCUUUUUCACUUUUUCACUCGCUCACCUCAUAAUCUACUAUAAUUUUAUAUGGGUGGC
rnacentral:lncRNA from 1 species